rnacentral:tRNA from 1 species
GGUUAAAUAACAUAAUGGUAAUGUAUAAAAUUGCAAAUUUUGUAAUGAUGGUUCAAAUCCGUCUUUAACCU